rnacentral:rRNA from 1 species
UGGGGAAUUUUGGACAAUGGGCGAAAGCCUGAUCCAGCAAUGCCGCGUGUGUGAAGAAGGCCUUCGGGUUGUAAAGCACUUUUGUCCGGAAAGAAAUCCUUGGCUCUAAUACAGUCGGGGGAUGACGGUACCGGAAGAAUAAGCACCGGCUAACUACGUGCCAGCAGCCGCGGUAAUACGUAGGGUGCAAGCGCUAAUCGGAAUUACUGGGCGUAAAGCGUGCGCAGGCGGUUUGCUAAGACCGAUGUGAAAUCCCCGGGCUCAACCUGGGAACUGCAUUGGUGACUGGCAGGCUAGAGUAUGGCAGAGGGGGGUAGAAUUCCACGUGUAGCAGUGAAAUGCGUAGAGAUGUGGAGGAAUACCGAUGGCGAAGGCAGCCCCCUGGGCCAAUACUGACGCUCAUGCACGAAAGCGUGGGGAGCAAACAGGAUUAGAUACCCUGGUAGUCCACGCCCUAAAACGAUGUCAACUAGUUGUUGGGGGAUUCAUUUCCUUAGUAACGUAGCUAACGCGUGAAGUUGACCGCCUGGGGAGUACGGUCGCAAGAUUAAAACUCAAAUGAAUUGACGGGG